rnacentral:rRNA from 1 species
UACGGAGGAUGCGAGCGUUAUCCGGAUUUAUUGGGUUUAAAGGGUGCGUAGGCGGCUUUUUAAGUCAGCGGUGAAAUUUUGCAGCUUAACCGUAACAGUGCCGUUGAUACUGGGGAGCUAGGAUUUGGUUGCUGUGGGUGGAAUGUGUGGUGUAGCGGUGAAAUGCUUAGAUAUUACACAGAACACCAAUUGCGUAGGCAGCUUACUGAGCCGACACUGACGCUGAGGCACGAAAGCGUGGGGAUCAAACAGGAUUAGAUACCCCGGUA